UCGACAAUGGCCGCGCGCAGCCAUCAUUCGGCUGCGCGUUAAUUCAAUACAAAUUUCGAGGAGGGAUCUGCUACGAAAGGCUGGAGGAGAGACGGAAGAAAUCGAGAUUGAGAGAGUACAGAAGGUUGGGGACAGCAACGUGUUACUUGUAAUGCCGUUACCGGCCCACCCUUUUUCGACUAACGACGUUAUAUUUUUUUUUCAUUAAUGAUGGUAUGGCGGUUUCUUUUUCCGGGGUAACGAGUAUAAUGUCACUUUUAUCGUUGCUUCGCACACACGUACAGGAUGUCAAUGUACAGAGCAGUAUACAACAGUUUGUCUAGACGUUUUCUCGCAGGCGCAUUUUUUCCGAGCAAAAACGUGAGAAAGUGUGUGUGUGUGUGUGUGUGCAAAGCGUUUUAUAAGGGUGUAUGCCGCCAAAGCCGUGCUGAAUUCGUCUUUGAGCGCGCGCCUAUCAGCGAAGCGAGUAGGCAACCCGUUAUACCGAUCUGUAUGUUGAUGCAAAACUCCGUAUAAUACAUAUGGGAGAGCGCAAGGGAAUCUUGAAGACAAAGGGUCUUUAAAACUUGGUGAAAAAAGAAGGAAAAUUUUGUAACGACUCGUUUAAUAACGAUAACCGUAACGAGUUAUUUUUCAAAAGUAACUUUCCAACCUUGACUUUGGAGAAGCUUGAGAGAGACGCUUGGUCCGUUUCUUUUUAAUUGGCUGUACAGUCAACCCUCCUAUAACGCGGUAUUCUCAGAACGCGGUUUCCAUAUAACGCGGAGCAGAAAUUGCGACAGCCCUCCUAUAACGCGGUACUCUCACAGCGCGAUUUCCAUUCAACAACGUCCCAUCAGUUCUUUCCGUGCACCCAAUGAAUGAUUUUAACCACUUGCGGUGGAAAGACGUGCUACGCACGUCGUAAUGUUUUUGUCGCAGAAUCGCCAACGACGUGGUAUACACGUCGUCAGGCAAUUGUCACAGAAACGACGUGCGUGGCACGUCGGCUGAGAUUGCUGGCACUGUUCGAGCGACAGCGAAGAAGCGCAAAAUCGCUCCGUGGCACUCAAACGGUUUAUUUGUGGUUUAUAAUUGGACAACAUUACACAAUACUAUUUGCAUGAUGUCAAACACAAAAGAAACAAGGAAAGGAUUAAAAAGAAAGUUUAUAUCUCUUGAAGAUAAAAUCCAAAUUUUAAAUCGUUUAGAAG